rnacentral:rRNA from 1 species
CGUAGGGCGCGAGCGUUGUCCGGAUUUAUUGGGCGUAAAGAGCUCGUAGGCGGCUUGUUGCGUCGACUGUGAAAACCCGCGGCUUAACUGCGGGCUUGCAGUUGAUACGGGCAGGCUAGAGUUCGGUAGGGGAGACUGGAAUUCCUGGUGUAGCGGUGAAAUGCGCAGAUAUCAGGAGGAACACCGGUGGCGAAGGCGGGUCUCUGGGCCGAUACUGACGCUGAGGAGCGAAAGCGUGGGGAGCGAACAGG